rnacentral:rRNA from 1 species
GAACCUUACCAGGUCUUGACAUCCUCUGAAAACCCUAGAGAUAGGGCUUCUCCUUCGGGAGCAGAGUGACAGGUGGUGCAUGGUUGUCGUCAGCUCGUGUCGUGAGAUGUUGGGUUAAGUCCCGCAACGAGCGCAACCCUUGAUCUUAGUUGCCAUCAUUAAGUUGGGCACUCUAAGGUGACUGCCGGUGACAAACCGGAGGAAGGUGGGGAUGACGUCAAAUCAUCAUGCCCCUUAUGACCUGGGCUACACACGUGCUACAAUGGACGGUACAAAGAGCUGCAAGACCGCGAGGUGGAGCUAA